rnacentral:rRNA from 1 species
ACUUACGGCCAUACCAUCCUGAAUACGCCCGAUCUCGUCUGAUCUCGGAAGCUAAGCAGGGUCAGGCCUGAUUAGUACUUGGGUGGGAGACCGCCUGGGAAUACCAGGUGCUGUAAGUG